GACAGAGGUGCCAAGCGUUAGGCGGAAUCACUGGGCUUAAAGCGUGUGUAGGCGGGUCGUUAAGUACCUUGUGAAAUCCCUCGGCUCAACCGGGGAACGGCUGGGUAUACUGGCGAUCUUGAGCCACCUAGGGGCAGUCGGAACAAGUGGUGGAGCGGUGAAAUGCGUAGAUAUCACUUGGAACGCCAAUGGUGAAAACAGACUGCUGGGGGUGUGCUGACGCUGAGACACGAAAGCCAGGGGAGCAAACGGG
rnacentral:rRNA from 1 species